UAAUCGCUACCGUCCGCUCCGAUCAUCCCUCUCCCUCCGUUCUCUCCCCCAAUCGAUGGCGGCAACCACCGCCGAGUUAAAGAAAGACUCCAUGGUCUCGCCUUCUCUCCCUCCAACCGUUCCUCCGCUCUCCCAUCCGUCGUGCAGGGGCUUCUGCCCGAGGUGGAGCGGGAGAAGCAGCUGGCUCAUGAGAAAUGCUUCCAAUAUCUUCGUUAUAUGGGGCGUCGCAGAUAUCGCGCAAUUGCUCAUGCAAUCCAAUCCAUGUCUGAGAAGAUAAAGGCAGCCCAUCCACAUGUGCAAGUAAUAAGGAAAACAGGCAAAAGUUGACCUGGGGUGGGGUUCACAUUCCUGUUGAUGUUGUAGGUCUAUCUCUCCACGAAGCAUAUUGGGGAAAUACUUGUUGGAUUAAGGUCAACUUGUUUCUAAGAUUUGAUACUAUGAAGUGCCAGGGACAUGAUAUUUAGUGUUCAUGUGUUUUAUCAGGACAUUGGAUCAUGCAAUCAUCACCCAAGUUCUUGAGAAACUUUACAAUGUGUAGGUGAAAUUAAUAUUAACAGUUCCUUUCUGAAGAGAAGUAAUCACAAGCAGUGCUCUUUCUAUUUUACUUGGCUAUUGUAACAUCAAGAUUAACAUCCUCCAAAAAAGAAAAGAAAUCAAGCUAAGAUUGCUCGGAUGAAGCAGGGAUAACAGUUCAUACUGAUCAGCGUUUUUCAAUUCAUCAGAUGAAGAUUGGUCAUUGAGAAGUGUAUUAAACCAAGAAUAGUCCUUUUGUCAUUGUAUGUUGGCUAAUGUGUUCUAGUGGUUGAAAUAAGACAAUGUUCUAUCCAUUAGAACAUUAUAGCUUAUUGUUGUUGUCGAUUGCUUG